AUGUUCUGACUGAGAGAUGGGAUGAAUGGGAAACUUCGGAAGCGCUCAGGGAAAAGAUGAGCAUGGGGCCCCCUCCUUCUCCUUCUCCUAAUUCGCCUUUGAUAUUGGAUUCGACAGAGAACCAGCAGGCACUCGAACUGUCUGCUGCACGGUGACCUGGUCUCAGCAUUGUUGGAAAUCCCUUAUGCACUGUAUUUAUUAUUGUAUAUGAAUCUGAUUCUUUUCCUGUACAGUUCUUUGUAAUAGCUGCAACGUUUUCGUAACGGAACCAUACAAGAAUUACGUAACCAUACCGGAACGGAUUUGAUGAAAAAAGAAGGUUAAUUACUUAGUAUCACAAAGACAAAAAAGAAUAGUGUUUACAGUGUCUCUGUUCAACAAAUUAUGGUACAAAAUGCUCACAACUGAGCUUUCUACAAAGGCCAACUCCUGAAAUCUAUGGUGAAAUGGGCUAUUCUUCCUCCCUAUCUAUGAACUUGGGGAAGGCAAAACUAUCUGAUAAUUUAUCUGGAUAUCGGUCUCAGUGUCCAUUCGUCUUUGGCCUGCUGCUAUGAUGGCUGCAU
rnacentral:lncRNA from 1 species